rfam:Myotis brandtii contig245996, whole genome shotgun sequence.
GAUGGUUCUUGGGCGACGCACCCUGGAAUCAGGCUCCCUCCUCUCUGGUUCCGGGUGCGACACCUGAGAAUGCA